ensembl:lncRNA
AUUUUAUUUCUGAUACAAUGAGUUGAUCUUAUUAUAUUUCACAUUCAAAAUACACAUAGGUAUUCUUACUAAUGUACUCUGAAGGGGAAUUUUAGAAUCAGCUUGUUGAGUUCUGUUUUUAAAAAUGAGAUUUCAAUUCUGCCUCUUUAUUUUACAAACGGGGACUAAGAUUGGAGAAAAGAAGGCAUUUAUUCAAGGUCACAGAUUAAUCAUCCAUGGGUAUAAAUCAGCAGAUGAUAAAUGCAGAGCAGGAGACAGCAAUAAAACACGAUCAAAUGGAGCUUCUGCAGCAGACACUGCUGGCUGCCCUACCAAUGACCAGCUCCCUCAUCCUUCUGUGUCAAAGAAGAGCCCACCUCUCCUGACAGCCAGAAAGUGCUGGAUCCUUGCUUUUGAGCUUUCCUGGCAGCGAGGGGUGUUCGUGGAAAUCAAUCUGGGCUAAUGACAUGUAAAGGAAAGUUUGCUGUGUUUGGAGGAGACUUCCAGAAAAUACUCCUCCCUGCUCCAUGACAGAAAUGCUGUUGUUUAGUCAUUAAGCUGUGUCUAAUUCUUUUGUGACCCCAUGGACUGUAGCCCACCAGGCUCCUCUGUCCAUGGGAUUUCCCAGGCAAGAAUACUAGAGUGGGUAGCCAUUUCCUCCUCCAGGGGAUCCUUUUGACCCAGGGAUCAAGCCCAUGUCUCCUGCAGUGGCAGGCAGAUUCUUCACCACUGAGCAGAUCAGGGAAGCCCCAUGAUAAAAAUAGAUUUUAUUUUAAAAAGCAGCAUGCCUCCCUUUUCCUUUUGGAUUGCCACCUUAGGGCUGUGCGUGGUGACGCAGUUUAUGCACAAAGCUCAUCAGCUCUGAGAGAAGGGAACAGGUGGGUGCUUGACGGCACUGACGAGGUGCUGCGUCAGUACUGGAACCACCGGCUGCUGGACACAUUGUUAUUGAAAACAAGACCUCACCUUGAAGCCACGCUUAGUGAAACCAUCUGCUGUUUUUAGCUGAAAGCAUUCUAACUGGUACGAUUAUUUAAUAGGUUACCUGUUGCUUUGGUCGCUCAUGAGACUGUUCUUUAAGUAGAACUCCUACAGAGCCUUUGUUAAUGUUGAGGAUUGCUGGUGAGUCUGCACUGUUACCUCUGGGAACCUCAUGAGAAAAACCAAUGUUCUUGUUUUCCAGAGAGAAGGAGCUGAAAGGACAGAAUCCUAUCUCAGCUUCUUUCUAGCUCUGCAACCUUGGGCAAGUCCUUACCACCCUGGACCUCAAUGUGUUCAUCUGUAAUAUGAAGCGUAUCAUCAGGACUUACUCCAGCUCCUGGAGAGUUGAGUGAACUACUGCCGAUAAGGCGCCCAGCACAGUGCCUGGCGUGCGGGGAGAACCCAGUCCCCGCUGUGCUAUUAUCUCCGUUCCCCACCUGCGGGGGUAUGAGAGUGUCCAGUGGUUCUGAGUUGCUGGCAGACUGACUAGCUCUUGUUUUCCCUUACAUGUUAAAGUAAGAACCACCCACCUGGACCUCUUAGCAAAGGGAGAAACAGUGUGAAUCCUUCGAGAGGCUGGAGGGCAAUGAGAGAAGCUCAGCUUCCAAACCAUCACUUAAGAAGGCUGUUCUACUCUGAGUCCUGUCACUUUUCUCAUCUUAUUUCUGGGAGUUGCUAUAAAAGGACUCAACGCUAGAGCCAUUCUUGGGUCUCACCUGAGUCCCGCUCUCCUGUGAUGUUUCAUGCAUUUGUCCAGGCUGCUCCCAGGCCUGGGGCAUCACUCACCAUCACCUGGCGACUUCUGUCUCUUCACCUCCUAGGAGCCUCAUUUCUCACUCUGUAGACUCUCUGCUGGCCCCCAUUACAGAACCCUUCACGGGUUUGAUUUCUCCCCCUACUAAACUGUCUCUUCGGUCUCAACACAUACCUUGCCUGUAUCAAGUAGUAAAUAAAUCUUGGUUGAAUGACAACAUACCCAUAAGAUUAAACUCAGUGGUAAGUAGACACUAUUCUAUUCUAUGUGGUUGUAUGUUUGAUCUAGCAAAGUUAUUUCUAUUUUUUUCUGUGAGAUAAACCUGAUUAUUUAUUAUCUCCACCAGAAUUUUUUUUUCUGAGAACCUUCUGCUUUAUUGCUGUAAGGAGAAUAGACUACCACCAUUUUACUAGAGUGAAAUUGUGCAAAGAAACACAACAUAUGUUUAGCAAUUGAAAAGUAACAAUUAAU